rnacentral:rRNA from 1 species
CAGUCCGCGGUAAUACGUAGGGCGCAAGCGUUGUCCGGAAUUAUUGGGCGUAAAGAGCUCGUAGGCGGUCUGUCGCGUCUGGUGUGAAAUCCCGAGGCUCAACCUCGGGCUUGCAUCGGGUACGGGCAGACUAGAGUGCGGUAGGGGAGACUGGAAUUCCUGGUGUAGCGGUGGAAUGCGCAGAUAUCAGGAGGAACACCGAUGGCGAAGGCAGGUCUCUGGGCCGCAACUGACGCUGAGGAGCGAAAGCAUGGGGAGCGAACAGGAUUAGAUACCCGGGUAGUCCCUGUCUCUUAUACAC